rnacentral:tRNA from 1 species
GGGGUCAUAGCUCAGCUGGGAGAGCAUCUGCCUUACAAGCAGAGGGUCAUAGGUUCGAGCCCUAUUGGCCCCA